rnacentral:rRNA from 1 species
CGGUCCUAAGGUAGCGAAAUUCCUUGUCGGGUAAGUUCCGACCUGCACGAAUGGCGUAACGAUCUCCACACUGUCUCGGCCAGAGACUCGGUGAAAUUGCAGUCGCGGUGAAAAUUCCGUGUACCCGCAGAAAGACGGAAAGACCCUGUGCACCUUUACUAUAGCUUGACAUUGGAUUUUGGGCCUGCAUGUGUAGGAUAGGUGGGAGGCUGUGAACCCUGUACGCCAGUAUGGGGGGAGCCAUCCUUGAAAUACCACCCUUGCAUGUUUAAGAUCCUAACUUCUUCCGGUUAUCCCGGAGAAAGACAGUGUCUGGCGGGUAGUUUGACUGGGGCGGUCGCCUCCUAAAGUGUAACGGAGGCAUGCAAAGGUUCCCUCAGCCUGAUCGGAAACCAGGCGCUGAGUGCAAACGCAUAAGGGAGCUUGACUGUAAGAGAGACAUCUCGAACAGGAACGAAAGUUGGCGUUAGUGAUCCGGUGGUCCCGAAUGGAAGGGCCAUCGCUCAUUGGAUAAAAGGUACGCCGGGGAUAACAGGCUGAUCGCAUCCAAGAGUUCACAUCGACGAUGCGGUUUGGCACCUCGAUGUCGGCUCAUCACAUCCUGGGGCUGAAGCAGGUCCCAAGGGUACGGCUGUUCGCCGUUUAAAGUGGUACGCGAGCUGGGUUUAAAACGUCGUGAGACAGUUUGGUCCCUAUCUUCUGUGGGCGAAGGAGAAUUGAGAGGGCCUGUCCCUAGUACGAGAGGACCGGGAUGGACGCACCCCUGGUGAUCCUGUUGUCGCGCCAGCGGCAUAGCAGGGUAGCUAUGUGCGGAAGGGAUAACCGCUGAAAGCAUCUAAGCGGGAAGCCUGCCUCAAGAUAAGUUCUCCCCUCGAAAGAGCUGAAGGGCCCGGGUAGACUACCCGGUCGAUAGGCUGGAGGUGUAAGCGCGGCGACGUGCUCAGCUGACCAGUACCAAUAGCCCGAGCGGCUUAUUUUU